AAUUUUUUUUUAAUUGGGAAAAUAAAAAUAAAUAAAUCCAUAUAAUCUUCCUGAGACUGAGGGAAUGUGAACAGUUCUAGAGAAAAGAAGCAACUGAUAUGUAAUGAUUCGUUUCUAGGUAAAUGAUGAGGGACUGAUGGCAUUGCUUGAAAUCCAAGUGAAAUUCAAAAGAGACCAAGAAAGAGCUGUUUCGCUCUGAAUUACCUUUAACAGCUCUGAAAAUGUCUUUGUGUUAUUCACAAGGGAUGUUAGCUAAUGCUUGCCCAAUGCUGGGACUGGAGAUAAAAGAAACAUGCUAACAAUGCUCCACUUGAAAACAGGCAUGGUAAGACCAGUAUGUUAUUGUGGCAGAACUGAGGGGGCAAUCUAAAUUUAGGGAUGCAUGUGAGUUAUGAGGCAUGAUGUCAUGGAAAUGCUUUCCAGGCACUGAAAGAGAGAAGUGCUGUGAGAAUUUCCUUUCUAUUGUUCCAGAUACUCCAUGUACUUAGGGGGACACUGACUUUGGAAGGACAUAUCAACGCAUCCCAUCCCCUCUGAGAGAUGGAGGAGCAACAAACAGCGGAGGUGCAUGUGCAUUCAAAAAUAUACGAAAUAGAACAAAGAAAAAGUUGAUUUAAUUUAUACUGUUAAACUAUAAUUCAGACUGGACACAAGAGGAAUUUACAGCCAUGUCAGAGAACACAGCAGGGGAGGACUCUCUUUCUCAGAGGCAAGAGAAAAAAAAAAGAGAAAAAAGAAAGCUAAAAACUGUGUGAUCUGAGAAAAAAAACGUCAAGACCUGAGAAAGUAGAUUCACAGAGAACCAACAUUCAUUGCAGAGCAGACAUAAGAUACCAAUGGAUAACAAAACACAAGAAGUCACUGUUAAAAGAGGUGGAGAAGACAAUCACGGGAGAUGCAUAUUAAACCCAGAAGUUCAGAGAGUCGUGGAAAACAGAUUUGUUCAACUAACAGUCAGCUCCAGUUUCCUCUCUAGAUAGCAGCGUCACAGUGUUAGUUUGAGAGAGGUGGGAGUGAAGCUUCCAGAAGAAGUGUAAGAGAAAGGAUUUAAAAUGAGUUAUUUUAUUUCAUGGUAAGUAAAAGUUUGGAGACCUGGAAUUCAAAUAGAAGUUUGAAUCCACGUCUUCAUCUCCAUAAGUUCCCUUUUCCUCUUUCUCUUGUUUAUUGCUUCUGGAUAUUUUUGUUAGUUUGUUUUCCUUUGGUUUAGUUUUGUUUGCUUAUACUUUUCUGUCUGUAACCUAAAACUUCAAAGCCUUUUUGAACUUUGAAUAUAGGAUCUCAAGAUAGCAAUGCUUUUUUAAUAGAGCCUAAACACCAUGAAGUAGGACAGUAAUGAUCUAGUCUUUUCCAUUCUGACUAAAUGAGUACAAAGAAUUUUACUUUCCUACUUGGAUAUAACUGAAAAGUUCAGUUCAUAUUUAUGCAGUUCAAUGCUCUAUAUUUCAUACUGAGAAUACAGUAUACAAGUUAGGAUUUUCUUGUCAAAAGUUUUUCUACAGAGAUAAAAGUAGAGAGUUCAAUGAUAAGCAGAAAAUGAUUGAGAUUUAAAACAUAACAACAAUGUGCUGAUUGUCUAAGACCUCAUGAAUUCAGCAGAGCAUGAUUUCUACUUAGUAUUGAAUAUUAUCCAGGAAAGGCUUUCUAUUUUAAAAUAUUGAAAUGCCUACUAAUAUUAGAAAUAUCUGUUACAUACUGCCAUUUUUUUCACGUUAUCAGAAAUCAAGAGUUGUCCAAGAUUACCUAAGAAGACAGGUGCAAAACAGAGCAGUAAUGAAAACAUCUCCAUCUAGAAAAAAAAAGAAUCAAAUCUUUUCAACUUUUAUCAGCUGCAUGUUUUUGUAGUUACUCUCUGAAUUUUCCAAUUGCUGAAUUGGAAAGCGUAGGGUCUAAAUAGAGUAUUUUUCUCUGUGACAAUUAUUCUCUUAAUUCCAACAAUUCUACCUGUUCUUCAGGGUUUGCUAAAGUCCUUUCCUAAAUUGCAUUUCUCAAUUAAUUAAUGAUUGUACUUGUUCAAUAUCCUGAGAAGUUAUCAUACUUUAGAAUAAAAACAAUAUUUUGUUUCAACGAGUCAUUUCAGUAAUAUUUAGGGAUGUACUACUCAAAAAGGCACGAUAAGCAUUAAGAAGAACCAGACAGACAUCUCUUUAAUCAUUCCAGGAAUUCAGAUUUCUCAGACUAUUCCUUCGUCUCCUUUCUGAUAUUAUGUCAAAUUUUCUCAUAAAUUACCUAAUUAUUUUCCCAAGAUCUGAAAUAAAUCCUCAGAGUUUAAGGCACCUAAAGCAUGGAAAUAUAUAUUUGUUUGUUUCUCAUAUAUAUAUAUAUAUAUAUAAAAUACAGUUCUACAUUAUAACGAUUUUUAACAUCAGCAUUUUGCAAGUUAUUCUUCCUUUCUUCCUUAUUCCAAAAAUCUUGCAUGGAUAUUGUAUCCUAGUGAUAGGCCUUGAGCCUUGAAGGGAAUUUAGUUAAAUGAUUCUGAGCAGAAAAUCUGCCCCCUAGUUUGUUUGCCAAAUGAGUGUCUAAUUUACAUUCACAAUUAACUCAAUUGCACGCAUAAAUGAGCUAAUGAAACACAGAAAAGUGUAAAUGGUCAUAAAUACUCAUUUCCAUGUGCAAUUGCAGUAAUUGCAUGCGCCUCAUGAUUUUGAAAAUCAAGAACUUCACGCUAAUUUGAUGGUAGUUCAUGUUGUGUAACAGUUAUAUUUAAGAUUAAGCUUAUCGCUCAACAAAUGCAGCCAUCUUUUUCUCCUAUGCGCUUUUCUUCUUUUUUUUUUUUUUUUUCCUGUUAUGGCUAAUUGAUGAAUAACAGUGUUUAACAUGGACUUCUUUUUGCUGACAAGCAGGGUUUAAACAUUUGCCUCAAACUGGUAGAACUGCAAAUCUAUUUAUAUACAGUGCUGUGUCUCGGUAACCACUGAUUUAUACUCCUUCAAACAGUGUAUCUAUUAAGAAAUAACAUUUGUUGUUGUUGUUGCUGUUGUUUUUGUUUCUUUGUUUGUUUUUUCCUGAGGUAAUAUGGAAAAAAGAUACAAAGUCUCUUAGUUGCUUUUAUCCAAACAUUCUGAUUCACAGUAAUCACAUUAGAGAAAUAUCAAAUUAAUUUAAGUCUGUUUCAAUCAUAGGUUUUGCUAAAAGCUCUCUCUGAUUUUCCGUUUACAAAUGCAGGCAAAUCUUGCAUCUUGUUAGUGAGGCUGCGAUCGUUUUUUUUGUUGUUGUUGUUUUUGUUGUUGUUGUUGUUAUUGUUUUAACUGCAAUUUAUUUCUGAAUAGAUUAAAACUAAGACAUCUACUAGCAAAUCCCGUGGUGUGACUGAAUGACUUCCCUAUAUGAAAUCUGCUAAAUAAUUACGUAAGAAGACUAACAUAUUUUGUGUCGAUAAGUAUUUUGGUGUAGAGACCAGGAAUGCACGUUGCAAUAGUUGUUUUAAGUCAUCAUACAUGGUCCAUUUUAAAAUCUAAAGGCAUAUUUCAACAAUCUCAUUGAUAUGAUUAUACUGUAAGCAACAUAAUUCAAUUGAAGUGUUAAUCUUCUGAAGGUAAGAUCUAACUUUAUAUGUACAUAUUAUUUUUUGGUGGUUUUAACAACUGGGAUAAAUGUACAUCCAGAAAUAUUAUCUUCAUUACUGUAGAAAGUACACAGAAGAAAUGUCUGAAUAAUAAUAACUCAAAGAUUAAUCAAGGUAAAUUAAGAGGAUAAUGCUGGUUGUGUUUUAUAGUUAGAUGGCAACAUAUAGUUGGACACCAUCCAAACCAUUUUAGAGAUUGGGCUUCGGUUUGCAAUCUAUUUCAUGUAGGCAAUCCUCUGAGCCAUUGUGAGACUACUGAAAGUAAUUUUAGGUCUUGCAAUGCAAACAUGUUUACAUCAUUCAUUCCCUAGGCCUAGAAACUUCAAGGUUUUGUGUUGUAUGUUAUAUUUAUAAAAAUAUUAAUAAUCCAAUAGAACAUCAAGUUAAUAUAUAGAAAUCUACAAAGGAGAAAAGAAAAAAAAAAAAAAAGA